rnacentral:rRNA from 1 species
GACGAACUGUCCUAACGUUGUUCGGAAUCACUGGGCUUAAAGAGCUCGUAGGCGGCUUGUCGCGUCGUCUGUGAAAUCCCGCGGCUCAACUGCGGGCUGGCAGUCGAUACGGGCAGGCUGGAGUUCGGUAGGGGAGACUGGAAUUCCUGGUGUAGCGGUGAAAUGCGCAGAUAUCAGGAGGAACACCGGUGGCGAAGGCGGGUCUCUGGGCCGAUACUGACGCUGAGGAGCGAAAGCGUGGGGAGCGAACAGG